UUUGUGUCACCGUGAUACUACUGGAAGCCCCUCCUGUCCCACUCUAGAAGCUGUGUUCAAAAACCAAGAUGGAAACUUUUUGGCUAAUGGAGCAGGUGGUUAGACCCCUGGUGUUUGUGUGGCAAUACAACCCGAUCUCGAAGUUAAAAAGUUGUGUUCAAUCUUUUUAAAAAAGAGAGAGAGAGAGAGAGAAAAGAAAAGAAUACAGUAUGGGAUUCAAUAAAUAAGAAAAAAGGUUACAAAAUGAUGCCAACUUUUUCCUUAAUAUACAAGAGAAAAGGCAGGUUUAGCUGGGGUGGAGGCUGUCCCUUCUCUUCCUGGACCAAGGCCUGGGAUAAAGGAAGGCCUCUGUCAGCAGCUGGGACUUGAGGGAGAUGCAGAAAUGGGUAAACUAAGGAAGUGGGGAAACAAAUGGAGGUGUAGAGCAAGAGGAAGACAGGAUGGGGUCCCUGGCUGCCUGCCUGUGCCUCCCACAACAGGUUAGAGGGCAGCCCGGUUCCUGAGUUGUGUAUCCAGUUACUAGUGGUGGGGUCUGACCAGCGGAGAGCUGUCCCCAGCCUACCCUGUGACCUUGGUGCCCAAGAGAAGACAGGCCCUGGCUUGACAAGGGUAUUUGGGGGUGAGGUAUGUGGCAGAGGCCCAAGACCUCUUAAUAUCCUUCAGAAGGGGUGAGGCAUUUGUGCAGGGAAGCUUGGGCUGGAAGCACAGGGCAGUGGGACAGGACCCCUGAGCUGUGAGAGAGGGAGAAACACAGUGGGUUUAACUACCCUGAUGUGAAGUCCCCAGGCACCUGGCUGGGCUCUGGAGCAUCUGCUGCACUGAAUUUGAGGCCUAACUUCAUUCUGCCCCUCAGCCCUUCUCCUGGACGUCCCAGCUAACCCUUGACCUGGGAGAGCCAGAGCUUGCUUCUGCCUUGCGAGGUGCCCGGGCACACACUCCCUGCAGGGGGGCUAGUUAGCAGUAUGGCUUCGGAUCCUCAGAUCUCCCAUUUGUCUGCACACUCCUAGGCACACACUUGGAAUGGUGUCACCCUCUGCCUCCCACCUCUGUGACUUAAUUUGAAGUAGCCACGGGGCCUCCUGUUUGAGGAAGGAGGCCAGGGGACCCCCAUACUCCCAGUUUUCUGCAGUCCCUCAGCCAAACCGCUCCCGAACCAACAGCAUCAACUUCUUCUUCCCCUUGUAGGUCUGUUUAAGGUUCUCUAAGAACUGUGCGAACUGGAGGUGCCCAUCUGGUGCCAGAAGGAAGGUCUCUCGAGCUUUUCCCAGGAACUCAAUGAAGUCACCAUAGUGGCGUGGGCUAAUGUGGGUGAGGCGAGAGUGGCUGGUGGUUAUAUACGCAGCUACCGCAGCGUCCAGGAGCUGGCAAAGUGGUGCCCUGUCAGUCCCAAGUGGUUUGGUAGCUCUGCGGGCCCCCAGCGGGCCCAGUCCAGGUGCGGAGAGCGUCCAGCGUCGCAGAAUGUCUGAGAGCAUCGGUGCACAGUGGAUACUUCGGAUGAUGAGAGGGACAAUGGCCGACAAUUCAUGCCGCCCCAGUGAGUGGCUGAGAGAGCAGGCCCACAGCACAUCGUUGACUGCGGGGUGGCUGUCUUGGUUGAAGGCGAUACUGAGUUGUGCCAAGGCUAGCGUGGCCAGCUUGUAGGCCCGCAGAGGCAGGCCUCGGUGCUCCAUGUAUCGUGCAACUGUGAAGAGGUGGGCGUGGCCGAGGCCACCGGCUGCAGCAUCCAGCACAAUCUGGUAGGCAGCCUCGAAGGCUGCAUGGUUCUUUUCACACAGGGUCAGGGCUGGCAAGGCGCAGUUCUGGGGAUCCUUCAUGGCGCACUGCAGUGCCAAGGUGCGGGCACAGGCCCAGAGCUCCUCUCGCCCCGUUGUGUCUAGCUGCAGUCUCAGCAAAGUGGCAUGUGUGGUGCCUGUCACUGCCACUAUGGUGACUGCCUCCACUGGGGUGAACAAGGAGUACCAGUUCUUCAUGAUACUCAUCA
rnacentral:lncRNA from 1 species